rnacentral:rRNA from 1 species
CCCAGACUCCUACGGGAGGCAGCAGUGGGGAAUAUUGCGCAAUGGGCGAAAGCCUGACGCAGCGACGCCGCGUGAGGGAUGAAGGUCUUCGGAUCGUAAACCUCUGUCAGCAGGGAAGAACGGUCACUGUGCUAAUCAGCAGUGAAUUGAUGGUACCUGCAAAGGAAGCACCGGCUAACUCCGUGCCAGCAGCCGCGGUAAUACGGAGGGUGCGAGCGUUAUCCGGAUUUAUUGGGUUUAAAGGGUGCGCAGGCGGCACGGCAAGCCGGCGGUCAAAUCGCGGGGCUCAACCCCGCCCAGCCGUCGGAACUGCCGGGCUAGAGUGGGCGAGAAGUGCGCGGAAUGCGUGGUGUAGCGGUGAAAUGCAUAGAUAUCACGAAGAACCCCGAUUGCGAAGGCAGCUUACUAAACUGUGACUGACAUUGAUGCUCGAAAGUGUGGGUAUCAAACAGGAUUAGAUACCCUCGUACAC